AGAACGAACGCUGGCGGCAGGCUUAACACAUGCAAGUCGAGCGCCCAGCAAUGGGAGCGGCGGACGGGUGCGUAACACGUGGGAACAUGCCUUUCGGUACGGAACAACUGCGGGAAACUGCAGCUAAUGCCGUAUACGCCCUUACGGGGAAAGAUUUAUCGCCGAAAGAUUGGCCCGCGUCUGAUUAGCUAGUUGGUGAGGUAACGGCUCACCAAGGCUUCGAUCAGUAGCUGGUUUGAGAGAACGACCAGCCACACUGGGACUGAGACACGGCCCAGACUCCUACGGGAGGCAGCAGUGGGGAAUCUUGGACAAUGGGCGAAAGCCUGAUCCAGCCAUGCCGCGUGAGUGAUGAAGGCCUUCGGGUUGUAAACUCUUUUACCUGGAAGAUAAUGACUGUACCAGGAGAAUAAGCCCGGCUAACUUCGCGCCAGCAGCCGC
rnacentral:rRNA from 1 species